UACGUAGGUGGCAAGCGUGUCCGGAUUAUUGGGCGUAAAGCGCGCGCAGGUGGUUUCUUAAGUCUGAUGUGAAAGCCCCCGGCUCAACCGGGGAGGGUCAUUGGAAACUGGGAAACUUGAGUGCAGAAGAGGAUAGUGGAAUUCCAAGUGUAGCGGUGAAAUGCGUAGAGAUUUGGAGGAACACCAGUGGCGAAGGCGACUGUCUGGUCUGUAACUGACACUGAGGCGCGAAAGCGUGGGGAGCAAACAGG
rnacentral:rRNA from 1 species